AUGAACGCUGGCGGCGUGCCUAAUACAUGCAAGUCGAGCGAACAGACGAGGAGCUUGCUCCUCUGACGUUAGCGGCGGACGGGUGAGUAACACGUGGAUAACCUACCUAUAAGACUGGGAUAACUUCGGGAAACCGGAGCUAAUACCGGAUAAUAUAUUGAACCGCAUGGUUCAAUAGUGAAAGACGGUUUUGCUGUCACUUAUAGAUGGAUCCGCGCCGCAUUAGCUAGUUGGUAAGGUAACGGCUUACCAAGGCAACGAUGCGUAGCCGACCUGAGAGGGUGAUCGGCCACACUGGAACUGAGACACGGUCCAGACUCCUACGGGAGGCAGCAGUAGGGAAUCUUCCGCAAUGGGCGAAAGCCUGACGGAGCAACGCCGCGUGAGUGAUGAAGGUCUUCGGAUCGUAAAACUCUGUUAUUAGGGAAGAACAAAUGUGUAAGUAACCAUGCACGUCUUGACGGUACCUAAUCAGAAAGCCACGGCUAACUACGUG
rnacentral:rRNA from 1 species